rnacentral:rRNA from 1 species
AUUGAACGCUGGCGGCAGGCUUAACACAUGCAAGUCGAGCGGUAACAGAGAGAAGCUUGCUUAUCUGCUGACGAGCGGCGGACGGGUGAGGAAUGCCUAGGAAUCUGACUAGUAGUGGGGGAUAACUUGCCGAAAGGUAAGCUAAUACCGCAUACGUCCUACGGGAGAAAGGCGGGGACCUUCGGGCCUUUCGCUAUUAGAUGAGCCUAGGUCGGAUUAGUUAGUUGGUGAGGUAAUGGCUCACCAAGACCGCGAUCCGUAACUGGUCUGAGAGGAUGAUCAGUCACACUGGAACUGAGACACGGUCCAGACUCCUACGGGAGGCAGCAGUGGGGAAUAUUGGACAAUGGGGGGAACCUUGAUCCAGCCAUGCCGCGUGUGUGAAGAAGGUCUUAGGAUUGUAAAGCACUUUAAGUUGGGAGGAAGAGCAGUUAACUAAUAUUUGCCUGUUUUGACGUUACCGACAGAAUAAGCACCGGCUAACUUCGUG